AUUGAACGCUGGCGGCAGGCUUAACACAUGCAAGUCGAGCGGAGCGAGGGUGCUUGCACCUUAGCUUAGCGGCGGACGGGUGAGUAAUGCUUAGGAAUCUGCCUAUUAGUGGGGGACAACAUUCCGAAAGGGAUGCUAAUACCGCAUACGCCCUACGGGGGAAAGCAGGGGAUCUUCGGACCUUGCGCUAAUAGAUGAGCCUAAGUCGGAUUAGCUAGUUGGUGGGGUAAAGGACUACCAAGGCGACGAUCUGUAGCGGGUCUGAGAGGAUGGUCCGCCACACCGGGACUGAGACACGGCCCAGACUCCUACGGGAGGCAGCAGUGGGGAAUAUUGGACAAUGGGGGGAACCCUGAUCCAGCCAUGCCGCGUGUGUGAAGAAGGCCUUUUGGUUGUAAAGCACUUUAAGCGAGGAGGAGGCGCUCUAGGUUAAUACCCUAGAUGCGUGGACGUUACUCGCAGAAUAAGCACCGGCUAACUCUGUGCCAGCAGCCGCGGUAACAC
rnacentral:rRNA from 1 species